GAUGAACGCUGGCGGCGUGCCUAAUACAUGCAAGUCGAGCGAACAGACGAGGAGCUUGCUCCUCUGACGUUAGCGGCGGACGGGUGAGUAACACGUGGAUAACCUACCUAUAAGACUGGGAUAACUUCGGGAAACCGGAGCUAAUACCGGAUAAUAUAUUGAACCGCAUGGUUCAAUAGUGAAAGACGGUUUUGCCGUCACUUAUAGAUGGAUCCGCGCCGCAUUAGCUAGUUGGUAAGGUAACGGCUUACCAAGGCAACGAUGCGUAGCCGACCUGAGAGGGUGAUCGGCCACACUGGAACUGAGACACGGUCCAGACUCCUACGGGAGGCAGCAGUAGGGAAUCUUCCGCAAUGGGCGAAAGCUUGACGGAACAACGCCGCGUGAGUGAUGAAGGUCUUCGGAUCGUAAAACUCUGUUAUUAGGGAAGAACAAAUGUGUAAGUAACUAUGCACGUCUUGACGGUACCUAAUCAGAAAGCCACGGCUAACUACGUG
rnacentral:rRNA from 1 species